CAGUUCCCUUCUGAAACGGAACUGUUGUCCUCGGCUUCUGUUUCCGCCGGACGUCACACACGGACGGACAUCUUCGAGGCGCGGUGCUUAAACAGAAGCUACUCGCGCGAAGCUGAACCCGUCUUAUCUACGUCACAGGCAGACUCUACGUCACAACUCGACAUGAAGUUUCGAGGGAAGAUCGUAGACGUCGCGUGCCUCCACCACUUUACCCGUGUGGUGACCACCAUCUGGAAGCUGACGAAGGUGUGCGUCCUGCGGCUGACCCCCGACCACCUGUUCUUCGUCCUGUCGGGUAAAGUGGCCCAUGGGGGCGUCGGCUUGUGGUGCGAGUUGUCUCAGGCCAACUUCUUCGAUGAGUACCAGAUGGAGGGCGUGUCCUCUGAGGACAAUGAGAUCUGUCUGGAGGUGAUGCCAGAGAACCUGUCCAGAGCCCUGAAGACGGUCCAAAGUGCCAAGACUGUGAAGAUCAAACUGACCAAGAAGCACUGCCCCUGCCUGACCAUCACCGCCGAGCUGCCCUCCAUGUCCAGUCUCAGUCGGGUGGUCACUCACGACGUCCCGGUGGACGUGGUCCCGCGGAGGCUCUGGCACGAGUUCAAAGAACCCGGCAUGCCGGACUUCCAUGUCAGCAUCUACCUGCCGCCUCUGAAGACCAUGAAGAACGUUGUGGACAGGAUGAAGAACCUCUCCAACUUCCUGGUGAUGGAGGCCAACCUGAGCGGAGAGAUGAACCUGAAGAUUGAGACCGAUCUGGUUUCUGUCACCACUCACUUCAAAGACCUGGGGAACCCUCCGUGGGGGGAUGAUGCUUCCCAGGAUGCAGGCCCCUCUCCGAGCAGGGACCCCGAGGCCAUGGUCCAGGCCCGGGUGGACAUCCGGAAGCUGCAGCAGUUCCUGGUAGGACAGCAGGUCAACCCCAGCAAGGCCAUGUGCAAUAUCGUCCAGGACCGCGUGGUGCACCUGAUCCUGCUGCAUGAAGACGUGUCGCUGCAGUACUUCAUCCCCGCUGUGGCGUAGACGCUCCGCUGGACGCUUUCUGCUGCUUGUGACUUGGGGGGGGGGUCAAAGACAGGGGCGUGCAGCUUGGUUUUCCUCACAAAGUUUGAAGCCCUGACUGCAACCAAACCCUCCUUCUGAGAGCAGGUUUGAACUGAGGAUCCUCCACACUUCAGCCUUCCUGCUAUCUCCCUGCACUGUUCCACCACACACCUGUUGAUGCUUUUGAAUCCAACCUCAAUUCUCAUAGAUUCUCAGGCUGGAAUCCACAACCGUUCCAUACGGUUAUAAUAGAAUUGCAGGUCAAGUAAAGUCAUAUAAUGUCAUUUCUAAUAAAGCCCUAGUUGAUUUCACUACUUUUAUGCUGUGAUCCUUAUUUCACUUUUUUCGACAUGUGUGCUGAUGCCCGCGUGUGAAUUGAGAGGAUCCAUACCGACUCCCCUAUGGAGCUAAACCAGUCUGAGGGUCCUCCUCAGCUGAGUGGAGAAUAAAUCCCCGAAGAAAUAAACACGUUUGACACACGGCACCUUGAGGAGAGAGAAUCAAAUCCCAAAUGUGGAUCAGGAAGGUCAGCUUUGAUUCCACUAGAGACACCAGAACUCACCAUGAUUCACAGUGUCACUGUUUGUUUAAUUUAAAAUUAGG